GGGGACAACGUUUCGAAAGGAACGCUAAUACCGCAUACGUCCUACGGGAGAAAGCAGGGGACCUUCGGGCCUUGCGCUAUCAGAUGAGCCUAGGUCGGAUUAGCUAGUUGGUGAGGUAAUGGCUCACCAAGGCGACGAUCCGUAACUGGUCUGAGAGGAUGAUCAGUCACACUGGAACUGAGACACGGUCCAG
rnacentral:rRNA from 1 species